GUGUCUAUCAAAGUGUCAUCCCGCAUAAAUAGGAAUCCAAGUAACAGUUACAUGUACUUUGUUCCCCUAAACUUACUCUUCAAAAUCAAAACCGAAGAUGGCUGAAGAUAAGCAUUGACGACAAGCACGAUUCUCGACGACAGCGGCACCCUCUUGAAAAGGAGCCACAACUCCGAUAUUUUUGAAAACCCUAGUGAUGAGUUCAGGAAACUGCUGCGCAAGGAACGCAAGGGACAGUUGAAGAUGCUAUCGACCAGCACUUUCAAAAAGAUAAAUACAUGAGGGACUUCCGUAAGAAUCUGGAUGAUAUGAAGAGUGCAUACGAAAGAUGUUUAAAUAACUUUGAGGUGGUAUUAGCCUUGUACCCGGGUAAUGCAGAGCUUGCUAAACUACGGGACGAAAAUCGCAAAUUUUUUCAGCUAUUUGAGGAAACAAAUCCACUGUCAAAGAUGAUGUUGGGAGGGACAAGGAAGGUGAGGGGCAAUGCAGUGGAGGAACAGGGGGACGAUUGCAGCUUCGCUCCAAGCUUCUCCUUGGGACUCUGCUUGGAUGGAGCACCAGCCUAAGAACGGAGAACGACAAUCAGAAUAGUUUGUUGAACAAGUUACGCGUGGUGUAUGGACAUAAAAUCCUAACUUGGGAGCAAAACAGUAAAAGGGGCUAUGUGAUGGGCGGGGCUACAUACUUGGACAAGGGCAAGAAGAUUGUAGAAUAGUUAUUUAUUUGGGAUUUUCUUUAUUGUUUUACGAGGGAUUUGCUUAAAGUUUUCUUCAUAGGUUCUCUGUACUUUAAAGAGAAACAAUUUGUGGCAAUUACAUUAGUCUUGUUGAUUUAUGUCGUUUUAAAUUGGAUAGACGUUUGAUAUGUUAGAUAAAAGCUAUAGCCUCCUUUGCAGUA